ensembl:lncRNA
UGAGCAAGAGUUUAGAGUUUUCAACUCAUUUUUUCGCCACCUGAAGCGAACGCAUCCUCUGUAUGUUACAUCUGGAUGUCCACCAAUUGGAUGGAGAGCGACACCCACAUCACCAGCUCUAUUAGAAAACUUCGGUGUAUCGAUAUUUGCCGAUUCUGCGACUCCUUCCUUGGACAACUCUGUGGAAUCAUCAUUACCUGACCGUCCUCUCGAACUUGGAACACAGGAACCACCAGAGCUGCCUGAGGACCAAUCAUGCAAUGCAGAAGAAGCUGCAGUUCCAACCAGUUCUGUAACCAGGCCUGACAUUGCCAGAUCUGCAGCAGCUUUUGCACUAAGUGUUCGGGAACAAUGCCACUUAUCACAGAGGACCGUCAACAACAUUGUUGCGGGGGUGCAGCAAUACCAAGCC